GGUUAAGCGACUAAGCGUACACGGUGGAUGCCCUGGCAGUCAGAGGCGAUGAAGGACGUGCUAAUCUGCGAAAAGCGUCGGUAAGGUGAUAUGAACCGUUAUAACCGGCGAUGUCCGAAUGGGGAAACCCAGUGCAAUUCGUUGCACUAUCGUUAACUGAAUACAUAGGUUAACGAGGCGAACCGGGGGAACUGAAACAUCUAAGUACCCCGAGGAAAAGAAAUCAACCGAGAUUCCCCCAGUAGCGGCGAGCGAACGGGGAGCAGCCCAGAGUCUGAAUCAGCUUGUGUGUUAGUGGAACGGUCUGGAAAGUCCGACGGUACAGGGUGAUAGUCCCGUACACCAAAAUGCACAGGUUGUGAACUCGAAGAGUAGGGCGGGACACGUGGUAUCCUGUCUGAAUAUGGGGGGACCAUCCUCCAAGGCUAAAUACUCCUGACUGACCGAUAGUGAACCAGUACCGUGAGGGAAAGGCGAAAAGAACCCCGGCGAGGGGAGUGAAAAAGAACCUGAAACCGUGUACGUACAAGCAGUGGGAGCACCUUCGGGUGUGACUGCGUACCUUUUGUAUAAUGGGUCAGCGACUUAUAUUCUGUAGCAAGGUUAACCGUAUAGGGGAGCCGCAGGGAAACCGAGUCUUAACUGGGCGUUAAGUUGCAGGGUAUAGACCCGAAACCCGGUGAUCUAGCCAUGGGCAGGUUGAAGGUUGGGUAACACUAACUGGAGGACCGAACCGACUAAUGUUGAAAAAUUAGCGGAUGACUUGUGGCUGGGGGUGAAAGGCCAAUCAAACCGGGAGAUAGCUGGUUCUCCCCGAAAGCUAUUUAGGUAGCGCCUCGUGAACUCAUCUUCGGGGGUAGAGCACUGUUUCGGCUAGGGGGUCAUCCCGACUUACCAACCCGAUGCAAACUACGAAUACCGAAGAAUGUUAUCACGGGAGACACACGGCGGGUGCUAACGUCCGUCGUGAAGAGGGAAACAACCCAGACCGCCAGCUAAGGUCCCAAAGUCAUGGUUAAGUGGGAAACGAUGUGGGAAGGCACAGACAGCCAGGAUGUUGGCUUAGAAGCAGCCAUCAUUUAAAGAAAGCGUAAUAGCUCACUGGUCGAGUCGGCCUGCGCGGAAGAUGUAACGGGGCUAAACCAUGCACCGAAGCUGCGGCAGCGACACUAUGUGUUGUUGGGUAGGGGAGCGUUCUGUAAGCCUGCGAAGGUGACCUGUGAGGGUUGCUGGAGGUAUCAGAAGUGCGAAUGCUGACAUAAGUAACGAUAAAGCGGGUGAAAAGCCCGCUCGCCGGAAGACCAAGGGUUCCUGUCCAACGUUAAUCGGGGCAGGGUGAGUCGACCCCUAAGGCGAGGCCGAAAGGCGUAGUCGAUGGGAAACAGGUUAAUAUUCCUGUACUUGGUGUUACUGCGAAGGGGGGACGGAGAAGGCUAUGUUAGCCGGGCGACGGUUGUCCCGGUUUAAGCAUGUAGGCUGAUUAUCCAGGCAAAUCCGGAUAAUCAAGGCUGAGGUGUGAUGACGAGGCACUACGGUGCUGAAGUAACAAAUGCCCUGCUUCCAGGAAAAGCCUCUAAGCAUCAGGUAACAUUAAAUCGUACCCCAAACCGACACAGGUGGUCAGGUAGAGAAUACCAAGGCGCUUGAGAGAACUCGGGUGAAGGAACUAGGCAAAAUGGUGCCGUAACUUCGGGAGAAGGCACGCUGGUGUGUAGGUGAAGUCCCUGCGGAUGGAGCUGAGACCAGUCGAAGAUACCAGCUGGCUGCAACUGUUUAUUAAAAACACAGCACUGUGCAAACACGAAAGUGGACGUAUACGGUGUGACGCCUGCCCGGUGCCGGAAGGUUAAUUGAUGGGGUUAUCCGUAAGGAGAAGCUCUUGAUCGAAGCCCCGGUAAACGGCGGCCGUAACUAUAACGGUCCUAAGGUAGCGAAAUUCCUUGUCGGGUAAGUUCCGACCUGCACGAAUGGCGUAAUGAUGGCCAGGCUGUCUCCACCCGAGACUCAGUGAAAUUGAACUCGCUGUGAAGAUGCAGUGUACCCGCGGCAAGACGGAAAGACCCCGUGAACCUUUACUAUAGCUUGACACUGAACAUUGAGCCUUGAUGUGUAGGAUAGGUGGGAGGCUUUGAAGCGUGGACGCCAGUCUGCGUGGAGCCAACCUUGAAAUACCACCCUUUAAUGUUUGAUGUUCUAACGUUGGCCCCUGACCGGGGUUGCGGACAGUGUCUGGUGGGUAGUUUGACUGGGGCGGUCUCCUCCCAAAGCGUAACGGAGGAGCACGAAGGUUAGCUAAUCCUGGUCGGACAUCAGGAGGUUAGUGCAAUGGCAUAAGCUAGCUUGACUGCGAGCGUGACGGCGCGAGCAGGUGCGAAAGCAGGUCAUAGUGAUCCGGUGGUUCUGAAUGGAAGGGCCAUCGCUCAACGGAUAAAAGGUACUCCGGGGAUAACAGGCUGAUACCGCCCAAGAGUUCAUAUCGACGGCGGUGUUUGGCACCUCGAUGUCGGCUCAUCACAUCCUGGGGCUGAAGUAGGUCCCAAGGGUAUGGCUGUUCGCCAUUUAAAGUGGUACGCGAGCUGGGUUUAGAACGUCGUGAGACAGUUCGGUCCCUAUCUGCCGUGGGCGCUGGAGAAUUGAGGGGGGCUGCUCCUAGUACGAGAGGACCGGAGUGGACGCAUCACUGGUGUUCGGGUUGUCAUGCCAAUGGCACUGCCCGGUAGCUAAAUGCGGAAGAGAUAAGUGCUGAAAGCAUCUAAGCACGAAACUUGCCCCGAGAUGAGUUCUCCCUGAGACUUUAAGUCUCCUGAAGGAACGUUAAAGACGAUGACGUUGAUAGGCCGGGUGUGUAAGCGCAGCGAUGCGUUGAGCUAACCGGUACUAAUGAACCGUGAGGCUUAACCUU
rnacentral:rRNA from 1 species